rnacentral:rRNA from 1 species
GGGCCCGCACAAGCAGCGGAGCGUGUUGCUUAAUUCGAUGCAACGCGAAGACUUACCUGGGUUUGACAUGUAGGGAAAAGCUCUAGAGAUAGGGUGUCCUUCGGGCCUUACACAGGUGGUGCAUGGUUGUCGUCAGCUCGUGUCGUGAGAUGUUGGGUUAAGUCCCGCAACGAGCGCAACCCUUAUCCUAUGUUGCCAGCAUUUAGUUGGGGACUCGUAGGAGACUGCCGGGGUCAACUCGGAGGAAGGUGGGGAUGACGUCAAGUCAUCAUGCCCCUUAUGCCCAGGGCUGCAAACACGCUACAAUGGCUGGUACAGAGGGCUGCGAACCCGCGAGGGCAAGCG